rnacentral:rRNA from 1 species
AGAAGUAAAAGUCGUAACAAGGUUUCCGUAGGUGAACCUGCGGAAGGAUCAUUACGAAAUUCGGCGCGCUUCGGCGCUGCCUUAUUCACCCACCCUUUGUCUACGUGUACCUCUAUAGCUUCCUCGGCGGGCUCGCCCGCCGCCAGGAACCCACGAAACCCCUUGCAUUAUACACGAAAACUUCUGAUAACAAACCUAAAUUAUUACAACUUUCAACAAUGGAUCUCUUGGUUCUGGCAUCGAUGAAGAACGCAGCGAAAUGCGAUAAGUAGUGUGAAUUGCAGAAUUCAGUGAAUCAUCGAAUCUUUGAACGCACAUUGCGGCCAUAGGUAUUCCUUUGGCCAUGCCUGUUCGAGCGUCAUUUACACCCUCAAGCCUAGCUUGGUGUUGGGCGUCUGUCCCGCCGAUUUCGCGCGCGGACUCGCCUCAAAGUCAUUGGCGGCGGUCGUGCCGGCUCCUCGCGCAGCACAUUUGCGCUUCUCGGAGGCCCGGCGGAUCCGCGCUCCAGCAAAGACCUUUCAUGACUUGACCUCGGAUCAGGUAGGGAUACCCGCUGAACUUAAGCAA